rnacentral:rRNA from 1 species
AUUGAACGCUGGCGGCAUGCCUUACACAUGCAAGUCGAACGGUAACAGGUCUUCGGAUGCUGACGAGUGGCGAACGGGUGAGUAAUACAUCGGAACGUGCCCGAGAGGGGGGGAUAACGAGGCGAAAGCUUUGCUAAUACCGCAUACGAUCUCAGGAUGAAAGCAGGGGACCGCAAGGCCUUGCGCUCACGGAGCGGCCGAUGGCAGAUUAGGUAGUUGGUGGGAUAAAAGCUUACCAAGCCGACGAUCUGUAGCUGGUCUGAGAGGUCGACCAGCCACACUGCGACUGAGACACGGCCCAGACUCCUACGGGAGGCAGCAGUGGGGAAUUUUGGACAAUGGGCGCAAGCCUGAUCCAGCCAUGCCGCGUGCAGGAUGAAGGCCUUCGGGUUGUAAACUGCUUUUGUACGGAACGAAAAGACUCUGGUUAAUACCUGGGGUCCAUGACGGUACCGUAAGAAUAAGCACCGGCUAACUACGUGCCAGCAGCCGCCGUAACAC